rnacentral:rRNA from 1 species
AACGAACGCUGGCGGCAGGCUUAACACAUGCAAGUCGAACGCGUGUAGCAAUACACGAGUGGCGCACGGGUGAGUAACGCGUGGAUAUCUGCCUUUUGGUUCGGAAUAACUCCGGGAAACUGGAGCUAAUACCGGAUGGUUCCUUCGGGAUAAAGAUUUAUCGCCAAAAGAUGAGUCCGCGUACGAUUAGCUAUGUGGUGAGGUAAUGGCUCACCAAGGCGACGAUCGUUAGCUGGUCUGAGAGGACGAUCAGCCACACUGGGACUGAGACACGGCCCAGACUCCUACGGGAGGCAGCAGUGGGGAAUAUUGGACAAUGGGGGCAACCCUGAUCCAGCCAUGCCGCGUGAGUGAUGAAGGCCUUCGGGUUGUAAAGCUCUUUUGGCGGGGACGAUGAUGACGGUACCCGCAGAAUAAGCCCCGGCUAACUUCGUGCCAGCCGCCGCCGUAAAAC